rnacentral:rRNA from 1 species
UGCCAGCCGCCGCGGUAAUACGGAGGGUGCAAGCGUUAAUCGGAAUUACUGGGCGUAAAGCGCGCGUAGGCGGUUAUUUAAGUCGGAUGUGAAAGCCCCGGGCUCAACCUGGGAAUUGCCUUCGAUACUGCCAGUCUAGAAUACGGUAGAGGGUAGUGGAAUUUCCUGUGUAGCGGUGAAAUGCGUAGAUAUAGGAAGGAACACCAGUGGCGAAGGCGACUACCUGGACCGAUAUUGACACUGAGGUGCGAAAGCGUGGGGAGCAAACAGGAUUAGAUA